GAUGAACGCUGGCGGCGUGCCUAAUACAUGCAAGUCGAGCGAACAGACGAGGAGCUUGCUCCUCUGACGUUAGCGGCGGACGGGUGAGUAACACGUGGAUAACCUACCUAUAAGACUGGGAUAACUUCGGGAAACCGGAGCUAAUACCGGAUAAUAUAUUGAACCGCAUGGUUCAAUAGUGUAAGACGGUUUUGCUGUCACUUAUAGAUGGAUCCGCGCCGCAUUAGCUAGUUGGUAAGGUAACGGCUUACCAAGGCAACGAUGCGUAGCCGACCUGAGAGGGUGAUCGGCCACACUGGAACUGAGACACGGUCCAGACUCCUACGGGAGGCAGCAGUAGGGAAUCUUCCGCAAUGGGCGAAAGCCUGACGGAGCAACGCCGCGUGAGUGAUGAAGGUCUUCGGAUCGUAAAACUCUGUUAUUAGGGAAGAACAAAUGUGUAAGUAACUAUGCACGUCUUGACGGUACCUAAUCAGAAAGCCACGGCUAACUACGUG
rnacentral:rRNA from 1 species